GGAAAAGGUACAAAUGUUGUUGCUGUGGGAGGAGGAGAAAUGUCGUCUUUUCUAAUCUACCCUUAUAUUCUGAAUGGAACCCAGAUUGAAGACAUGUAUAGGGAAGCCUUUCUAUGUCGGAUAAAAGAAGAAAUGCUGGUCUUUGUCGUCAGAAGUCUAUCUUCUCUGACCAAAAAUAUGCGGACUCGCAUUUUUCGUGUUCGGGUACUUCGCAAAGAUGAACGCCUC